rnacentral:misc_RNA from 1 species
UUCGUUCACGUCCCCGGCCUCGUCAUCUGCCUGUUCCUCGUCCUCUUCUUCGUCGCUGUCCUCGUCUUUGUCCUCGUCGUCGCCGCUUCAAGCCACGUCCACUUCCGCCGAGUCGAGCAUACCGCGAACGUGCAGGGCGUCCAGGCCCAAGAAGCAAUUCAUCUGCAAGUUUUGCAGCCGACAAUUCACGAAAAGCUACAAUCUGCUGAUACACGAAAGAACGCACACCGACGAGCGGCCGUACUCGUGCGACAUUUGUGGAAAGGCUUUCCGACGGCAGGAUCACCUGAGGGAUCAUAGGUACAUUCACAGCAAGGAAAAACCGUUCAAAUGCGCGGAAUGCGGCAAGGGAUUCUGCCAAAGCAGAACCCUCGCGGUACACAAGAUUCUACACAUGGAGGAAUCGCCCCAUAAGUGUCCCGUAUGCGCCAGGAGUUUCAACCAGAGGAGCAACCUGAAGACCCACCUUCUCACGCACACGGACAUCAAACCUUACCAUUGUGCAUCCUGCGGCAAGGUGUUCCGCAGGAACUGCGACCUCAGGAGGCACUCGUUGACUCACAAUUUGGGUGUAUCGACGUCACCGCCGCCGCCGGGGAUACCUGUGCCCGGCACCGGGGCCGUGGUGCUACAAGAGACGUCCUAGUGUUCCGUCCACCGAUCGCGGCAAGUCUGGCAUUGUACUAGGAAAAUUUAUUCACGUACGGACUCGAGUAAAAUUUUCAGGCUGGUCGUUCGGAAGGUUCAUACGACGGUUCAUACAUACAGUGAAACUCUAUUUAUUGGAACGAAAUUUCAUCUAGUGCUCGAGUAAAUGAUCUCCUGCCGAUUAAAUUCUUUUAGAUUCGAUGCGAGUUUUGUCGCGCGAACGUUCCGUUAAAGUAUUGAAUUAUACAGCGAAAUAUACACGAGCAGGCCUAUUUUUUAUUUUGUUAUCGCUCUCUAUAAAAGAUCGCUCGUCUACAUCGAUAUUUGUCCCAAUGUUGAUUUCUAUUAUAUAAACGAAAAAUCUUAUAAAUAGUAGAGAGAAUCAGCGAACUCCUAUUAUGUGAACUACUUGCAUCCUCACAGGUUCAGAUAAAUGGAGUUCUACCGUGAGUUGGUACGUCGGUGAUGUUACUUUUUGAUAUAUCGAUCGUGAUCUAAUAUGGUUCAAGAGUGGAUUGGUUAAUAUUGGGAGUUAUCCGAAACAAGAGGAUAGAUAAUGGAGACUCGUGCGAGUUAAGCGGACCUUCCGUCCUUGAUUUUUAGUGUGUUUUUAGCUGCGUAUGUAUUUCGUAGUUGUUAAUACAUAGGGUAU